AUCCAAGUGACGAGUCUCAAAUAAGACGAAACGCGCGUCCUGGAU
rnacentral:hammerhead_ribozyme from 1 species